UAACAGGAUUAGAUACCCUGGUAGUCCACGCCCUAAACGAUGCGAACUGGAUGUUGGUCUCAACUCGGAGAUCAGUGUCGAAGCUAACGCGUUAAGUUCGCCGCCUGGGGAGUACGGUCGCAAGACUGAAACUCAAAGGAAUUGACGGGGGCCCGCACAAGCGGUGGAGUAUGUGGUUUAAUUCGAUGCAACGCGAAGAACCUUACCUGGCCUUGACAUGUCUGGAAUCCUGCAGAGAUGCGGGAGUGCCUUCGGGAAUCAGAACACAGGUGCUGCAUGGCUGUCGUCAGCUCGUGUCGUGAGAUGUUGGGUUAAGUCCCGCAACGAGCGCAACCCUUGUCCUUAGUUGCCAGCACGUAAUGGUGGGAACUCUAAGGAGACUGCCGGUGACAAACCGGAGGAAGGUGGGGAUGACGUCAAGUCCUCAUGGCCCUUAUGGGUAGGGCUUCACACGUGCUACAAUGGCGCGUACAGAGGGCUGCAAGCUAGCGAUAGUGAGCGAAUCCCAAAAAGCGCGUCGUAGUCCGGAUCGGAGUCUGCAACUCGACUCCGUGAAGUCGGAAUCGCUAGUAAUCGCAAAUCAGAAUGUUGCGGUGAAUACGUUCCCGGGCCUUGUACACACCGCCCGUCACACCAUGGGAGUGGGUUGCACCAGAAGUAGAUAGCUUAACCUUCGGGAGGGCGUUUACCACGGUGUGAUUCAUGACUGGGGUGAAGUCGUAACAAGGUAACCA
rnacentral:rRNA from 1 species